CAGCAGCCGCGGUAAUGCGAAGGGGGCUAGCGUUGUUCGGAAUUACUGGGCGUAAAGCGCACGUAGGCGGACAUUUAAGUCAGGGGUGAAAUCCCGGGGCUCAACCCCGGAACUGCCUUUGAUACUGGGUGUCUAGAGUAUGGAAGAGGUGAGUGGAAUUCCGAGUGUAGAGGUGAAAUUCGUAGAUAUUCGGAGGAACACCAGUGGCGAAGGCGGCUCACUGGUCCAUUACUGACGCUGAGGUGCGAAAGCGUGGGGAGCAAACAGGAUUAGAUACCCCGGUAGUCCCUGUCUCUUAUAC
rnacentral:rRNA from 1 species